ensembl:miRNA mir200b microRNA 200b
GGUAGUCGUCUCCAUCUUACGAGGCAGCAUUGGAUUUCAUUACUUUUUCUAAUACUGCCUGGUAAUGAUGAUGAUUGCUGCC